CCUACGGGAGGCAGCAGUGGGGAAUAUUGGACAAUGGGGGCAACCCUGAUCCAGCCAUGCCGCGUGUGUGAAGAAGGCCCUCGGGUUGUAAAGCACUUUCAGUGAGGAAGAACGCCUGGUGGUUAAUACCCAUCAGGAAAGACAUCACUCACAGAAGAAGCACCGGCUAACUCCGUGCCAGCAGCCGCGGUAAUACGGAGGGUGCGAGCGUUAAUCGGAAUUACUGGGCGUAAAGCGCGCGUAGGUGGCUUGAUAAGCCGGUUGUGAAAGCCCCGGGCUCAACCUGGGAACGGCAUCCGGAACUGUCAAGCUAGAGUGCAGGAGAGGAAGGUGGAAUUCCCGGUGUAGCGGUGAAAGGCGUAGAGAUCGGGAGGAAUACCAGUGGCGAAGGCGGCCUUCUGGACUGACACUGACACUGAGGUGCGAAAGCGUGGGUAGCAAACAGGAUUAGAUACCCUGGUAGUC
rnacentral:rRNA from 1 species